CCUACGGGCGGCAGCAGUGAGGAAUAUUGGUCAAUGGGCGGAAGCCUGAACCAGCCAAGUAGCGUGCAGGAUGACGGCCCUACGGGUUGUAAACUGCUUUUAUACGGGAAUAAUGCGCAUUGCGUGUAGGGCUUUGCAUGUAGCUAACUAAUUAGGACCGGCCGAUUCCGUGCGAGCAGGCGCGGGAAUACGGAAGGUUCGGGCGUUUGUCGGAUUUAUUGGGUGUAAGGGACGCGGAGGCCGCAGGUCAAGUGCGUUGUGAAAUGUCCGGGCUCAACCCGGGCCUUGCAGUGGAAACUGGCGUUCUUGAGGACGCGGAAGGCAGGCGGAAUUCGUCGUGUAGCGGUGAAAUGCUUAGAUAUGACGAAGAACCCCGAUUGCGAAGGCAGCUUGCUGCAGCGGAACUGACGCUGAUGCUCGAAAGCGUGGGUAGCGAACAGGAUUAGAUACCCCAGUAGUC
rnacentral:rRNA from 1 species